rnacentral:rRNA from 1 species
CUGGCGGCAUGCCUUACACAUGCAAGUCNAGCGGCAGCGCGGGGGCAACCCUGGCGKCGAGCGGCGAACGGGUGAGUAAUGCAUCGGAACGUGUCCUCUUGUGGGGGAUAACCAGUCGAAAGACUGGCUAAUACCGCAUGAGAUCGAGAGAUGAAAGCAGGGGACCGCAAGGCCUUGCGCGAGAGGAGCGGCCGAUGCCGGAUUAGCUAGUUGGUGGGGUAAAAGCCUACCAAGGCGACGAUCCGUAGCUGGUAUGAGAGUACGACCAGCCACACUGGGACUGAGACACGGCCCAGACCCCUACGGGAGGCAGCAGUGGGGAAUUUUGGACAAUGGGGGCAACCCUGAUCCAGCCAUGCCGCGUGUGUGAAGAAGGCCUUCGGGUUGUAAAGCACUUUCGGACGGAACGAAAUCGCGCGGGUGAACAUCCCGCGUGGAUGACGGUACCGUAAGAAGAAGCACCGGCUAACUACGUGCCAGCAGCCGCGGUAAUACGUAGGGUGCGAGCGUUAAUCGGAAUUACUGGGCGUAAAGUGUGCGCAGGCGGCCGCGCAAGUCGAGUGUGAAAGCCCCGGGCUUAACUUGGGAAUUGCGCUCGAAACUACGUGGCUGGAGU